GUGGGGAAAAUUGGACAAUGGGCGCAAGCCUGAUCCAGCCAUGCCGCGUGUGUGAAGAAGGCCUUUUGGUUGUAAAGCACUUUAAGUGAGGAGGAGGCUACUGAGAUUAAUACUCUUGGAUAGUGGACGUUACUCGCAGAAUAAGCACCGGCUAACUCUGUGCCAGCAGCCGCGGUAAUACAGAGGGUGCGAGCGUUAAUCGGAUUUACUGGGCGUAAAGCGUGCGUAGGCGGCUUUUUAAGUCGGAUGUGAAAUCCCUGAGCUUAACUUAGGAAUUGCAUUCGAUACUGGGAAGCUAGAGUAUGGGAGAGGAUGGUAGAAUUCCAGGUGUAGCGGUGAAAUGCGUAGAGAUCUGGAGGAAUACCGAUGGCGAAGGCAGCCAUCUGGCCUAAUACUGACGCUGAGGUACGAAAGCAUGGGGAGCAAACAGGAUUAGAAACCCCUGUAGUCC
rnacentral:rRNA from 1 species